rnacentral:rRNA from 1 species
CCAGCGGUCCGGCCGGGAACUCAAAGGAGACUGCCAGUGAUAAACUGGAGGAAGGUGGGGAUGACGUCAAGUCAUCAUGGCCCUUACGACCAGGGCUACACACGUGCUACAAUGGCGCAUACAAAGAGAAGCGACCUCGCGAGAGCAAGCGGACCUCAUAAAGUGCGUCGUAGUCCGGAUUGGAGUCUGCAACUCGACUCCAUGAAGUCGGAAUCGCUAGUAAUCGUGGAUCAGAAUGCCACGGUGAAUACGUUCCCGGGCCUUGUACACACCGCCCGUCACACCAUGGGAGUGGGUUGCAAAAGAAGUAGGUAGCUUAACCUUCGGGAGGGCGCUUACCACUUUGUGAUUCAUGACUGGGGUGAAGUCGUAACAAGGUAACCGUAGGGGAACCUGCGGUUGGAUCACCUCCUUACCUUAAAGAAGC